rnacentral:rRNA from 1 species
CCUACGGGUGGCAGCAGUGAGGAAUAUUGGUCAAUGGUCGGGAGACUGAACCAGCCAAGCCGCGUGAGGGAGGAAGGUACAGAGUAUCGUAAACCUCUUUUGUCAGGGAACAAAGACUGGGACGCGUCCCCGGAUGAGUGUACCUGAAGAAAAAGCAUCGGCUAACUCCGUGCCAGCAGCCGCGGUAAUACGGAGGAUGCGAGCUUUAUCCGGAUUUAUUGGGUUUAAGGGGUGCGCAGGCGGUCUGUUAAGUCAGCGGACAAAGCCCGGGGCACAACCCCGGCCCGCCGUUGAAACUGGCAGUCUCGAGUUGGAGAGAGGUAUGCGGAAUGCGCGGUGUAGCGGUGAAAUGCAUAGAUAUCGCGCAGAACUCCGAUUGCGAAGGCAGCAUGCCGGCUCCACACUGACGCUGAGGCACGAAAGCGUGGGUAUCGAACAGGAUUAGAUACCCGAGUAGUC